rnacentral:tRNA from 1 species
GUUAACGUAGCACAACAUGGUCCUGCAAAAGCCCUAAGCUCUUUCAACAGAGGUUCAAAUCCUCUCGUUAACU